GACCAGACAUUGCCUCCGGGUGCCUGCCAUCGGCAGGAGAAUCGGAAAUGCGGUGAGGCGCCUUCGAAAGAUCGCGCCGAUUCCGCAACGUGCCCAACGCUGUGAGGGGGACCGCCGCCGCAACAUGCCACUGCCCGUCCGGGCGGGAAGGCGCGGCGCGGGACGAACCCGAGUCAGAAGACCGGCCCGGAGGCACAUUGCGGC
rnacentral:ncRNA from 2 species